rnacentral:tRNA from 1 species
AGAAAUUUAGGUUAACAACAAACCAAGAGCCUUUAAAGCCCUAAACACGAGCAAACAAACCUCUUAAUUUUUG